rnacentral:rRNA from 1 species
GCAUAUCAAUAAGCGGAGGAAAAGAAACUAACAAGGAUUCCCUUAGUAGCGGCGAGCGAACAGGGAUUAGCCCAAAACCGAAUCCUGCAGCUUAUGUUGUUAGGAAAUGUGGUAUUUGGUUCAAUCCUUACGGCAUGCUGGAGUUGUUUUAAGUCCACGUGAUUGUGGCAUCAAGCCCACAGAGGGUGUAAGGCCCGUAAAAACAAUACAGUAUGUCCAAGGGUAGUUCCUAGAGUCGGGUUGUUUGGGAAUGCAGCCCAAAUAGGGUGGUAAACUCCAUCCAAGGCUAAAUACAACACGAGUCCGAUAGCGAACAAGUACCAUGAGGGAAAGUUGAAAAGAACUUUGAAGAGAGAGUUCAACAGUGCGUGAAACCGCUCAAAAGUAAACGGGCAGAGCUGAAGAAAGAAUUGUACAUUUGUACUUUAAUGUUCCCAUGCGCUACGUUUGGUAUUCAAUGAAACCUACGUAUUUUGUACAGAUCAUUGUUGUGCUGUUGUACCUUUCUGACACCACGAUCGGUAGUUAAGUAGUCCAUGUCAUUUAGGGAAAGGUGACUUGGGAUUCUUCCUAAGUGUUACAGACCCUUAAUACAGCGGCUGCCGAGUACCGUUAUGCGAUGCAAGCCAUUGUGGCGUUCAUGAAGUGAGGUAGUAAGGUGGAGCUAUAUCAACUCUUAAGAUAUGAUGUGGCUGUUGCUCUGCUGCUUUAAGUCCUCUGUACGUUGCAUCAAUAAUCUGUGGUGGAAUUGUAGGCAAUCUGCCCGACCCGUCUUGAAACACGGACCAAGGAGUUUAACAUGUGCGCGAGUCAUGGGGUUAUACGAAACCUAAAGGCGAAGUGAAAGUAAAGGCUUGUUUUUUGCAGGCUGUGGUAGGAUCCUGGCUUACAAUGUGUUUAUUUACAUGGGCUGGGCGCACUACCAGCUCGUCCCAUGCUUUAAAAAGUGGGGCGACGCAUGAGCGCACAUGUUGAGACCCGAAAGAUGGUGAACUAUGCUUGCGUAGGUUGAAGCCAGAGGAAACUCUGGUGGAGGACCGUAGCGAUUCUGACGUGCAAAUCGAUCGUCAAACGUGAGUAUAGGGGCGAAAGACUAAUCGAACCAUCUAGUAGCUGGUUCCCUCCGAAGUUUCCCUCAGGAUAGCUGGCACUCUGGAAACAAACAGUUUUAUCCGGUAAAGCGAAUGAUUAGCAGUAUUGGGGAUGAAAUAUCCUCAACUGAUUCUCAAACUUUAAAUGGGUGAGAAGCUCAACUCUCUUAAAUUUGGAGUUGGGCAUUGAAUGUGAGUGCCUAGUGGGCCAUUUUUGGUAAGCAGAACUGGCGCUGUGGGAUGAACCAAACGUCUGGUUAAGGAGCCAAACAUGACGCUCAUGAGAAACCACAAAAGGUGUUGGUUGAUUUUGACAGCAGGACGGUGGCCAUGGAAGUCGGAAUCCGCUAAGGAGUGUGUAACAACUCACCUGCCGAAUCAACCAGCCCUGAAAAUGGAUGG